rfam:Strongylocentrotus purpuratus Contig501_fixed, whole genome shotgun sequence.
AAAACGGCUCUUUUCAGAGCCACCAUAUAUUCAAGAAAGAUACAUAU